AUGGUUCCAUUGACAGACCAAAGUGAUCUGUGUGUUUUGUCGUUGUGAGCUGAGCGAUCAUCACACCACGUCCAGUCUGAAAUACCACUUGGUGGCUGAGCACACAGCUGAUGCCAAUUCUCCGUCCCCUCGUCAAAGCCAGGUAACCGUCAAAAUCACAAAGCUAGCCGAU